CUUAUUUUGCCUCCUGAAACUACUUCGAGCAGCUUUUCGUCUGUUUGAUCCGUAGGCGUUAACAUUGUUAAGGGUAAGGUGAUGUAGUGCUUCAAAGAGGUUUGAAACUCGAAAUAGUGGCAGCAACAAAUCCUUCUCAAAGAUAAUUUAGUGAAAGCAUCAAUACCUAAUCUUUCGAUUGAUUAGGGUUGACAUAUUGCAAAAACUGAAGAUCUUACGAUAUUUAGGGUUUUUGAUUCGUUGUUAUUUUGAAUUAUUGGAGUUCCUCCUGUUUAUUGGUCCUGAUAAGAUUCGUCCUAUUCUAGGUUAGUGUUUUUUAGUCGGUUAGCUUCCGUGAUUUCAGGUGAUAAAUUCUGUUGUGUUAAGCGGGAUAGCCGAAAAAGGUGAUAAAUUCUGUUGUGAAUUGUGAGUUGGAAUCCAAUGGGAGUCGAACUAGGGCGUGUGAUUCAGCAUAAAGCAAAGUCAUUUAUUUGUCUAGACUUGGAACUGAGUACUGAUGUCAGUUGGAAGAAUGCCUCCAACCAAUGAUACGCAACCAAAAAACUAAUAAGUACAGUCAACAAAUUCUAGCUUGAUUUUCGUGCUCCGUAAGAUGAAUCUCUUAGGCAUGUAUAAAUGCAAAUGAUGCAGUUACCUUACGCCAAAAACUGGGUGAGAAAUUGAGAGAGAUAUCAGAACGAGUUGGAGGAAUGCAUCCGCCACCCCACCCCCCUGACUACCACAUUUGCUCUACGGAGAAUGGAAAGGUCUUAUGAGUAGCUGUGUUAUUUGUUAUCGUAUCAUGUGGUAAUCCAGAAUUUCAAUUUUUUCCUAUUUUGUGCCCUUUCAAUUUGCUACGCGGUUAGGCAAAUUUCUGAAACAAUUGAGGCAGGCCUAUAGUGGUGAAGGCAUAUGGUAGCAGUCUAACAAGAGCAGGAAAACAGUAGUAUUCCCAUCAUAAGAAAUGGCAGCACAACUGGAUGUUAUAGAUGUACGCAACUGUGUAUAUAUCUUAAUUCUGAUGAAGUUAAUUUCCCUUCCAUUAGUUAUGGAUUUCAGGAAAACGGAGGAAGAUUCAAAUUUAGAGCCUUAUGCAUUUGUGCAAAUGCCCAACUGAAAUUAAUGUUUAAUGUUCCAUCAUUUUCAACAUCAACCGAGUUCGGUCCAUCUUUUUAAGGUUAAGAAUUUAUUUAUGUAUUUAUUAUGAUAUAAAGAGUUACCAAACUAACCAAUAUGAAAUCUCGGGGUAUGAGAUUUUUCUG